UUCCAAAGUGUUGAGUUCAGUUCAGGGUAUCUUCCCUGCACUGGUAAUUAAACUUUGGAACAUUGAAACUGGCUGGGGACAGUGCUUGAAUAGAAAUGGUUAUUCUGUUCAUUUGUCCCCAGCCUACAGCU
rnacentral:snoRNA from 1 species